rnacentral:ncRNA from 1 species
GCCUUGCGCCUGAAAGGGCGACGGCGUCGAGCCGGAGUGGGGUCUCAGCAGAGGUCAUAGUAGUCGGGGUAGCGCCGGGAAGGCUCAAGUCCGCCGACGAAGGAC